UUUCAAGCAAAACAUUGUAAAACGGCCAUUGUCAUUUUUCAAAACAUUGAGAAAAACGAGAAUGAAAUUUGCAACUAGUAAUUCAAUUCCUAUUUUAAGAAAAAUGAACAAUUUACUAUGAUUAUUCACUCAAAUAGCGUAAAACUAGUGUGCUUAAGCUUCGCUAAAUUCAAAUUCACGGGAACAGUUUUUUUCCCCAAGAAAAUCAAUGAAAAAAAUAAUUAGGCCUCGUGCGAAAGUUUUACCAGUGCGGGAUCGAGCUGGGCCCUUUGCGUGAUAGCACCUUUGUAAACAGUGACAGUUUCGUUUUCCAGUUGGACCCUAGGCCAAACACGAUGACGGUUUGUUUAUGUUGUUCUUUUGUUUUGGCCUGGCAGGCCAAACCAAAACAGAGUCUGCUUUCGUGUUGGGGCCUUUUCAAGCAAACUUUUGUUUUAAUUUUGAAAGGGUUUUUUUUUAUUUUCGCGGCCAGUUCGAUAGAAUUUUGUGUAAUCGAGGGCAAAUCGCGAUAUUCUGAUGUGAAAAAUAUAAUUUUACAGUGGAAGAAAUUGUUUAUUCUGCAAUAAGGUUGGGAAGUUGCCGUGGCUGCCGUGUUAUGUUCAUUCUGCAUUUAUCAAGACAAAUUCCCUUAGUGGAGGAUUUUCAACAGAGUAUAUCGUGGACGAACUUGUGUGAAUCAAGCUGCUGAAAUUGUCGCUGGAACCGCGCCACAAUAUCGCUAGGCCGUUCGCAAAAAGCUACUGGGUCGGUGGACGGUCAUGAGCAACUCCCGAGAAAAACGGUGAUUCGGAGCACUAGCAACGGAGAGUUUCAUCGGAACGAGAUGGAGACAGUAAGACACGGGAAUGCAAACUAAUGUGAGAAAUGGCUUCAGGAAAGAUCGAAAAUUCGAUGGCCAAUGUUCCACGGUGGAGUUUCUAUCAUUAUUCAACCGAAGGUUGGAUCCGAAGACUGU